rnacentral:lncRNA from 1 species
GACGUAGUUGUCUUCUACUAUUUUCUCUCAAAAUGAUCCCAAAGAAAAGAUGGAAGUUAAAUGGAAAUACAUGUUUGAUGUCUGAAGCUGUACAGAUCUACUUCAGAUCUGGUUUGGCCAUAGAAUGUGUGACCUUGGGCAAGAAAGGUGACUUUUAUAAGUUAGGUUUCUCCAUCUACAAACUAAUGAGAAUGAUAGUAGCUGUGUAUCAGUUCACUUUGCAUUGCUAUAACAGAACACUAUAGGUACUUUAUAAGGGGUAAAAUUUAUUUCUCACAGUUCAAUAGGUAGGAAGUCCAAGAUCAAGGUGCAAGCAGGUUUGUGUCUGGAGAACAAAGAGAACCCACUUCCACAGGCCCUUUUAUAACAAUAUUGAUCCAUUUGUGAUCCUCCCAUUAGACCCUUCCUUUCCAAAGCUGUUGCACUGGGCAUUAAGCUUCAAACACAUGAAAUUGGAGGGAAUCAAAAGAUUCAAACUAUAGUAACCUGCUUCACAGGAUUAUUGAAAAGCAUGAAAUGAGCUAGAACAUGUAAUAUCCGUAGCCCAAUGCUUGGUGAUAAUUCAUGUUAAAUGUUCAUCAAUAUUUAUUAAUGAGAUGUUUAUUAAUAUCAUUUCAAUUUCACUACAAAGAAAAAGGCUUUAUUUGUGUGAUUGGAGUAGGGGUGUUGUGAGAAUACUCACGAAAAUAAGGACUUUAG